UUUGGUGGUCAUAGCGCGAGCAAAACACCCGAUCCCUUUCCGAACUCGGCAGUUAAGUGCCGCCGCGCCGAUGGUACUGCGUCUCAAGACGUGGGAGAGUAGGUCACCGCCAAAC
rfam:Defluviimonas alba strain cai42, complete genome.